UACAGAGGUCUCAAGCGUUGUUCGGAUUCAUUGGGCGUAAAGGGCGCGUAGGUGGCUUGCCAAGCGUGUGGUGAAAGCCCGGAGCUCAACUCCGGGUCUGCCAUGUGAACUGGCAGGCUAGAGCACGGUAGAGGCCAAUGGAAUUCCGGGUGUAGCGGUGGAAUGCGUAGAGAUCCGGAAGAACACCGGUGGCAAAGGCGGUUGGCUGGGCCGUUGCUGACACUGAUGCGCGACAGCGUGGGGAGCAAACAGG
rnacentral:rRNA from 1 species